rnacentral:rRNA from 1 species
UACGUAGGGUGCGAGCGUUGUCCGGAAUUAUUGGGCGUAAAGAGCUUGUAGGCGGUUUGUCGCGUCUGCCGUGAAAGCCCAGGGCUUAACCCUGGGUCUGCGGUGGGUACGGGCAGACUAGAGUGUGGUAGGGGAGACUGGAAUUCCUGGUGUAGCGGUGAAAUGCGCAGAUAUCAGGAGGAACACCGAUGGCGAAGGCGGGUCUCUGGGCCGAUACUGACGCUGAGGAGCGAAAGCGUGGGGAGCGAACAGG